UUGCCCACCCGAGACGACAAUUGUUUCUGGUGUUGAACACAGGGGGGUAAAGAAUCUCUCCCAUAAACCUGCAGUAGAGGCUCACAUCCUCGCUGCGGACCUGUCGGGAGAAACACUG